rnacentral:rRNA from 1 species
GACGGAGGGGGCUAGCGUUGUUCGGAAUUACUGGGCGUAAAGCGCACGUAGGCGGACCAUCAAGUUGGGGGUGAAAUCCCGGGGCUCAACCCCGGAACUGCCUCCAAAACUGCUGGUCUGGAGGUCGAGAGAGGUGAGUGGAAUUCCGAGUGUAGAGGUGAAAUUCGUAGAUAUUCGGAGGAACACCAGUGGCGAAGGCGGCUCACUGGCUCGAUACUGACGCUGAGGUGCGAAAGCGUGGGGAGCAAACAGG